rnacentral:rRNA from 1 species
UUGACCUCGGAUCAGGUAGGGAUACCCGCUGAACUUAAGCAUAUCAAUAAGCGGAGGAAAAGAAACCAACAGGGAUUGCCUCAGUAACGGCGAGUGAAGCGGCAAGAGCUCAAAUUUGAAAGCUGGCCCCUUCGGGGUCCGCGUUGUAAUUUGCAGAGGAUGCUUCGGGUGCANCCCCCGUCUAAGUGCCCUGGAACGGGCCGUCAUAGAGGG